AACCGAGAACAAAAAAAGAGAGGUUCGUGGUUUCUUAGAUAGAUUGAACUAUAUGUCAUGGUUCACAUCUCGUCUAACAGCCACGAGGGAACCCAUUCAAGAAAAAAGAUCAAACGGUCAGGUGAAAUAAUGAUUGCCAAGGGGCAUGGAAAGAAUAAAAGAAUAAGUCGUAGGAACCUCUGAUUCUGAUGCCUUAUGUGGAGGGAGAAAUUGUUAAUCUGGUACUUGACGGCCUUCGAGGGGUCUACGAGGUGUAUUGGGUCAGCAUGACGAGUCUUG
rnacentral:lncRNA from 1 species